GACCUAUCAGCUACACUUUGAGGAAGUGUGUCCUUCUUUGCUGCUUCAUGCUGUCAGACUUUUAAGUGUACGGCUGCAUGACCUGACAAGUUGGGAAUUACUAACUGAAAGUUUGUUCUGGUUCAGAGUGUUUGUGGCGAUAAGUCUCAUGAUGAAUCGAAUGGAGAAACUGCGGUUGGAAAUACAGGCUGAGCUCUUGGAGCUCCUCAUCUUGCUGGUUCUGGCUGCAAGUUGUUGUGUUCUGGACAUGCUCUUACACGCUCACAAACGUUUCCUGCAGGUUGUUGGCAUCCAAGCCGACCUUCAAGACAAAAAAAUUACAAUAGAUCAGGUCACAUCAGUUGUCCUGGAUGUUCUUCUUCUUUUCCUUUGCUACAAGAUGAUCAACUUCAUCCUUCUGCUGGUCACCUUCUUUCUUAGGUGGCUUGUGAAUGUUAGAGCGGCUUUGUUUGUUCCUGUUUUAAUCCUGAGUGGCCAAAGUGUCAGCUUAGAAGCUAUGUGUACAAUACUGGUGUUUGCAGUGAGUGUCUGCAUCCUUCAUUGGAUUUGGAAACGAGAAAGGGACACAGCCAUGGAUACCCGAGUUAUUCAACUUGAAAAGGAGGUGAAUAUGUUAUAUCAAUGGAGGUGAACAGAUGAAGAAGCAGAUUUGGUAUUUUGUGCUCCUGUCUUAUAGACUUUUGCAUAUUUAGUUUUUAGCGCUCUUAGGGCCAGAUUUACUAAAGGUUUGCGUGUCUUAAAACGUGUGCAAACUUGAUACCAGCCGCAAAAAAAGUGCUAUCUGAUCUACUAACGGCAAAGGAUUGCGUCUUCCAUAUGAGCAAAACAACGCUCAUUGUCCAUUUAGUACGUUUGCCUUAAUGAAUAUGCAAUAUGGGGCAUUUCUGCCCUAACGUGCAAAAUACUGGGAGGAGAAAAUGAAGGAGAAAAAGGAGGAGACAUAGGCACAAUCAAAGAAGGCAUACAGAUCGCGUUUUUCCCCACACAUGUUAACAUGUUUGGAAUGACAGCAGGAAACACCAUGAUUAAACUAUAUUGUUGCAUAUUUAUAGCCAACAAAACUGAACAUUCACAGCCUCUGUAUUCUAAAGAAUUUCAACAUUUACAUUUAUGUCUUCCUAUUUCCCUCUUUUCACCAACAUUACAUUUUAAACUGGGAUUUUCUUUUUCUCGGGUUGCGCGUCUCUCCCCCAGAUCGCCCCCUCUGGUACGCUCCUCUCCAUAAUGCGCGCGUCUCCUUCCUCUAAAGCCCGCUGCUGCUACUCUGUAGGAUGCUUGGAUUGGGGUACCUCACCACUGCUUGUACCCCCGUCUUCGAUAUCUCUUUCCAGGACAUUUAUGUCCGAUCAGACACAGCGCUGGCCAGCUGUCUGGUGCGCAACAACGGCCCGAGUGUCACGCCUGAGCGCCACAGAGGACACAGCUCGCACCUCCUGCACAAAGUAUGACAAUUCAUUCUUAAGAUUAAGGGAAGAAAAGAGAGGCCCUGUUUAAUAACGAGGUUAAAGAAGUCAAAUUUUCUUUUUGUAAUAUUCAGAUUUAUCUCCUAUAACUCAAAAAUAUUGUGCGUUUAUUUGCCGCUUCCAAUGAUACCUAUUUUAUGCUAGCAGUCGUCCUGCUUUCCGUCCAAACUCUCCAUGAUGUAAACCAGUAGAACACGCAAUAACCUAACUUAAAUAGUACCGCCUCCACAAGGUUUGCACAUGGUGUCAUUCACGCAAACUUUCUUAGUAGAUCACCUGCAAAUCGCACUUUAACCAAACGUGCAAUUUGUUGGAGUGAACACGUAAUUUAGCACUCUUUACUUGGGAUCUUAGUAAAUCUGGGGGGGGGGGGGGGGCUGGAGAGCCCGCACCAGAACUUCAGUGACCUUCCGGUUCCCAACCCAAGUCCCUAUACAGCUGCCCCAUAUUGCAUUCAUAACAGUUGUUUCUUAAUUUGGAUGCAACCAAUAUAGUUCACAUUCAGUCAUAGGAUUUCAUUUGUUUUAAUGGUUGAGUAAAACCUUUUUUGACCCUUUGUUUGUUUACCCUGAUCCUCUGACAAAAGGCCCGCUGCCAUUCAAAGAUAGACUUUUAAGCCCUGCCUCAGACUCAUGAUUUCCAAAAAAUUAUCUGUUUCUCUUUAUUUGAAUUGCUUUUUUCAAGAUAAUUAAAUUCUAAAUUCUGUUAAGUUUGUAUUCAAUUCCCCCCCCCCCCCCCCCCCCCCCCCCCCCCCUUUGUGUUUAUAUUGGACUAGUCCAUUGUGUAUAUAACCCCACUUGUGUAAGUUGAUGUUAGGUCUGUUUGUUAUGUUUGUUUUGUAAGGUUGAAGCAUUCCUUAUUCUAUAAGUUGACCUCUUUUUGAUUUUGGGCCCUUUUUUCCCCCUCACAUUUUUGGUAUGUUUACAUUGAUCAAUUUUGUUACUGAUUUUCUCAACUUAAUUAAAGUAAAUUUGCUCUUUAUUUACACCUUUGUCCUUUGCCUGAUUGCUUGGUCCCUUACAUUUACCUACAGAUCAUUAUUUAUGUAUUUGGACUCUACAAGGGACGGUACACCAAAACUUCAGCUAAAUUCCGUCAAGAACCAAGAUUCAUUUGGCUCGUUUGCCUACUUCUCAAUUAGCCGGAAGUUAGUUAUAGUCUGUAUUUCCAAUAUGGUGACGGCCAUUGUUGGGCUUCAAAACAGCUCUUCCUAAACCUUCUAGUGACUUCACUGACACUAUACAUGUAUGUUUUGGAAAACACAAACUAUUUGGAAAAAUUCACGGGAAAAAUUGUGACUUUAAAGGAAGAUAAGAAUGUGCGACAUUUUAGACACGAAUAAAGCAGAAAUCAAGUAUAUCCUCUGUGAAUGUCUCUCUGAGUCGUGACUGUCUACAAUGAGUGAGAAGCCUGAGUCCCGCCAGCUGUACAACCUUGGGUAUAAAGCUGUUUUAGUCAAGGACUGGAGAAAAGAAGUAUCACAUAGUCUACUCACUGCUUAUUGGGAUUGUGAUGUAUCCACUGACUGUAAAUAUUAAUGGAUGAAGCCUGAGUGACGUCAGGGGAACUCCGGAGGCUCUGGAGGCUCAUCGGCAGCUGCCGUCAUGCAUGAAAUCCUGUCUCAGUUUAACUUUCAGUCAACCUAACGACAGGCUGAGAGCUGGAGCAGAGGCGGGUUUGAAGCCUCUUGACCAACCAU